rnacentral:lncRNA from 1 species
GCCUUAAGCAUUAUCCUGGCCAAGAGCCUGAUUACUCAGCACCUACCGCAGAGGUCUUUAAUGGGCAGGGAAGUUAAUAGCACUGCAGGUGCUUGGCCUGAAAGAAAAGGGAGGUGCCAUCUUCUGUGCCUUGGUCAAUUUUGGGGUUGGAACCACAUGAUCUUUAAGGUCCCUUCCAACCUAAGUCAAUCUAUGAUUCCUGCACAGAUUACUGCAGAAUUCAGAUACAACCUUGGUGUCAGGACUAUGUUUGGAAAGAGGAAGAUAUGCUGUAGCAAGUCACAACAGUAGCACAUCACUUGUACCAUCCACCUUUGGAAUGCCGGGAUGAACUGUUACAGUUUUAACGUGUACCUGGGGAAUAACACUGAAAUAUAGCCCAUUUACCAACUGUACCGAGGUGCUAUCCUGGGCUAUUGCUGGUUUUCAUAGAAAAACAAAUUAUAGAAUGGCUUGGGUUGGAAGGGACCUCAAAGUCCACCUAGUUCUAGCUCUGUGCUGUAGGCAGGGCUGCCCCCACCAGCUCAGGCUGCCCAGGGCCCCAUCCAACGUGGCCUUGAACCUCCAGGGAUGGGGGCACCCACAGCUCCUGUGGGUAGCCUCUGCCAGUGCCUCACCACUCUCUCAGUGAAAAAUCUCCCCAACAUCAAAUCUAUUUUAUUGUAAUGUUAUCCAGAAGCUCCAGCUGCAUCUGCAUUGUCACAGAUGCUUUUUUUUUUUUUUUUUUUUUUUUUUACAAGGCACAGUUUUAAGAACUGAAAUCUUAGACAUCUGGAUUUAUUAAAGUCCACUGUGUUGGAUGAGGGAAGGAAUUCUUUUUAAGCGUACUUUGUUUUCACCUCCACGUAGCAGAGCUGGCACUGAG